GCGGGCGGGCAUCGCCUUUGCCUUAGGUGGGGGAGAUUUUUCUCCCUCUUCACCGCCUCGCCUUCCCUCUGUUUCGAAAGGUUCGGGAAAGUCCAAGUCAUAACAUAAAAAGUGUGCGUAUUCCCGGCCGCCGGCAGGACCUGUUCGCGGGGAAGUUCCUCUUGAACUUUCUCCGAGGACAGUUGUGCACCCUGCCCGGCGCUUCACGGGGUUCCCUGGCCGUCGUUGUCUUUGUGACACCAUUUCCUCUUUUAAAUUUUCAUUUCAUGGUCUAUAUUUUCCACUUCGUCAUUUUUCUGUAGCACUCAUUAGAACAAGCCCCGAAAGGGCGACUAAGGAAACGCACAGGCGAGGCAGGAAAGCAGGAAUUUUUUUUUUUUUUUAAUCUAAUGACUAUGACGGCUUGGCAAGAAAGAGUGCACGAUAGUGGACUGGAAAUCAGAGGUGGCUUCUCCUAUUGAUUAGUUAAGUGGGAUAACAAAAACCGACCUCAUUAUUAAAUAAGAUUUGCAGUAAGGACCACAUGGCAGAUGUUAGCGAUUGUGACUACUAUCUCUGGUAUCCAACUGUGUGGCCUGGGUAAGUCACUAUACACUCAGUCUGUUUCUUCACUUGGAAAAGAAAGGAAUUUGAGUAAGUACAAAGGAAAAUUUUGGCCGGGCGCGGUGGCUCACGCCUGUA
rnacentral:lncRNA from 10 species